AAACGAUUAAAGUCAGUCGUACCGUCGGGAAAUCAACUUUUCGGAUGUUGAGUCGCGGGUGUGCGGGAGUUUCGGCCCCCUCGUUCGUGAUAUUGGUGUCUUUUUGGUGUACUUUCUCGUGUGGUAGGUCAACGUCGAUUUCGAACGCCAUAAAAUGAUCGGGGGAAUGUAGCUUCAUUUUUUGAAGUGUUAUAGCCUUUGGUAGAUGUGGUGGUCGGGAUCGAGGAUUGCAACGAAUACCUUUUUGGGCUAUCCGUCUGACCUCUGGACGUCGCCCGAGUGCCGAAAGCUUGCUUACGGUCAUUUAGGUUAGACGGUCAAAAGGUUAGAACGCGAUUAAAUUCGUUAAGGACGUUGACGUAAUGGCUUUAAACGA
rnacentral:rRNA from 1 species